AUGACACCCCUCUUUCAGGCUGUAAAUGUAUCAUCACUACAAUGCGUGAAGCUCCUGCUUGAGGCUGGCGCUGUUAUCAACCCAGAUUGUAUCGAAACUGUUUCACUUGAUUCUGCAAUGGGAAAUGACAGCUCAACAGAGUGCUUAAAUUUCUUACUGAAGGCCAGUGCCAAGCGUAAUGCCUCUAAUGAUGCUGCUGUCCGCGCCAGCGCCAGAGGACGAGUCGCUGGCACCGCCCGGCGAUCCGGCAGAGGACGAGGAGGUGACCAGGGGCCGCGACAACAACAGGAGCAGCACGUUGCCCGUGGGGAAGAGGUCGAGGUCAAAGUCAAUCCUAAGGAUGAACAUGCGACUAAAAGGGAAAUAGCAAAGUUGAAGUCAUCUGCGAUUAAAGCAAUAGAGAGUAAAGAUUAUUUUUCUGCAACAAUGUGGUACACUAAGGCAAUAGAGCAUGACCCUAAUGAUGCAACCUUGUUCUCAAACAGAAGCCUCUGCUUGCUUCGCAUGGGUGACGGACAGAGGGCUUUGCUGGACGCUCUUGAUUGCAGAGGAAUGCGGCCUGACUGGCCAAAGGCCUACUACCGGCAGGGUGCAGCUUUGAUGUCACUGAAGGACUACACCAACGCGUGCGCGGUGCUUCUUGAUGGAUUCAAGUUGGACCCGGAGAAUGCCGAGAUGGAAUCUGCAUUACGGGAAGCUAUGGAAUCUUUGAAGAUAUCGAAAGGCGGCACCAAGGCAACAUGA
rnacentral:rRNA from 1 species